rnacentral:sRNA from 1 species
ACGAAGGUGAUUUACCACCUGGAUGAGGAAGAGACUCCCUACCUGGUGAAGAUCCCUGUCCCCGCCGAGCGCAUCACCCUCGGCGAUUUCAAGAGCGUCCUGCAGCGGCCCGCGGGCGCCAAGUACUUUUUCAAGUCUAUGGAUCAGGAUUUCGGAGUGGUGAAGGAAGAAAUUUCAGAUGACAACGCCCGCCUCCCCUGCUUCAACGGAAGGGUGGUAUCCUGGCUGGUGUCCUCAGAUAAUCCCCAACCCGAGAUGGCCCCUCCAGUCCAUGAGCCUCGGGCAGAACUGGCGCCUCCAGCCCCACCUUUACCCCCUUUGCCACCCGAGAGGACCAGCGGCAUUGGGGACUCAAGGCCUCCAUCCUUCCACCCUAAUGUGUCCAGCAGCCAUGAGAAUCUGGAGCCUGAGACAGAAACCGAGUCAGUAGUGUCACUGAGGCGGGAGCGGCCUCGCAGGAGAGACAGCAGUGAGCAUGGCGGUGAGGGGCAGGCCUGGGGGCCGGGAAGGGCUGGGCCAGACCCCAGCCUUGGUGGGGUGAGCAGGGGGAAGCUUGGCUCCUGAGCUUCCUGUCCAUAUGCAGCUGGGGGCCACAGGACUGGUGGCCCCUCAAGGCUGGAGCGCCACCUGGCCGGAUACGAGAGCUCCUCUACCCUCAUGACCAGCGAGCUGGAGAGUACCAGCCUGGGGGACUCGGACGAGGAGGACACCAUGAGCAGGUGUGGCUCCGCACAGCUCUCCCCAGCUCACCCAGCCCCGUCUCUCGUUCUCCAGUCCAUCCUCUUGUUCUUUCUCUUGGCCCCAUGACCACUUUGGCCUACGUUUGUUCUCCUUCCCAACCUCCUGGCAGGUUCAGCAGCUCCACGGAGCAGAGCAGUGCCUCCCGCCUCCUUAAGCGCCACCGGCGGCGAAGGAAGCAGCGGCCACCCCGCCUGGAGAGGGUGAGGGCUUCCUACAGGAAGGCUGGUGCUGGGAGAAGGUGGGGCAUGGGCUUUGGUUUGGGCGGUGCCAGGACACCGGCAGCACCCCAGGGUUGACCCUGGGUUAUUGAAGGGCACUCUAGCUCCUUCUUUUCCCACCACAGACGUCGUCCUUCAGCAGCGUCACAGAUUCCACAAUGUCUCUCAAUAUCAUCACAGUCACGCUAAACAUGGGUAUGGGGAGAGCCUGUGGCUAGGGCGUGGGGAGGGCCUGGUCUCUAGGGUUCCGGGCGUCCUGUGGCUGGGGCUCCUGUCCUCACAUGGC